rnacentral:rRNA from 1 species
GAUGAACGCUGGCGGCGUGCUUAACACAUGCAAGUCGAACGGUGAGGGCGGAGCUUGCUCUGCUGGAUCAGUGGCGAACGGGUGAGUAACACGUGAGCAAUCUGCCCCUGACUCUGGGAUAAGCGCUGGAAACGGCGUCUAAUACUGGAUACGAGCUGCGAAGGCAUCUUCAGCAGCUGGAAAGAACUUCGGUCAGGGAUGAGCUCGCGGCCUAUCCGCUUGUUGGUGAGGUAACGGCUCACCAAGGCGUCGACGGGUAGCCGGCCUGAGAGGGUGACCGGCCACACUGGGACUGAGACACGGCCCAGACUCCAACGGGAGGCAGCAGUGGGGAAUAUUGCACAAUGGGCGAAAGCAGGAUGCAGCAACGCCGCGUGAGGGACGACGGCCUUCGGGUUGUAAACCUCUUUUAGCAGGGAAGAAGCGAAAGUGACGGAACCUGCAGAAAAAGCGCCGGCUAACUACGG